rnacentral:lncRNA from 1 species
UUUGUAAUUAGGAAAACAACAAAGAUUAAAACCAAGAGAAAAAAAACAAAUUUAUUUUAGGUGGCAGGCAGUCAGGCCUUGCCUGGCCAUAUCACUUAUCAGAUGUGUGGUUGUGCAACCUGACUACCAGGUUUCAACUCCUGAGAUAUUGCUGUUAAACUCAGGUACAAAAUCUUUCCCACAAGCCCAGCCUGAGGGCUCAUCCUUAUUCACUGCAGUUUCUCUUGAUUUCUUUUUGACCCUCUACUGCCACUGCUGAUCUCUGGCCAUCCUCUUCCUGUCUCCUUGUCCAGCUGGGCCAGAUAAACAGACUUCUGGCAUUUUCAUGCAUGAUUCAUAACUUUAUGUAAAUGCUCUGGCAAGCUGGAUGAAUGGACAUGAUCCAAUAAAGAUAUUGAGCCUGAGAAUAAAACGCAGUAAAAGAGUGUUGAGAGCACAGAACUCCUCUGAAGUGGAAGGAUCCUUCUCACAGGAUGAAACCAUGUCUCACAUACUCCAGUAUUCUCAAAAGCCUAAUAUAGAACUGAGCAUGUACCAGAGCCUCAAUAUAUCUUUAUUUUUGUAAAUUAAAAAUUUAUACCGAUAUAUAAUGCAUAAGUGUGCCUUUUUUUUUCUUUUGCCUUUUCUAGAGCCGCUCCGCGGCACAUGGAGGUUCCCAGGCUAGGGGUCUAAUUGGAGCUGUAACCGCCGGCCUAUGCCACAGCCACAGCAACGCAGUAUCCGAGCCACGUCUGCAACCUACACCACAGCUCACGGCAACACCGGAUCCUCAACCCACUGAGCAAGGGCAGGGACGGAAGCCGCAACCUCG